AGGACGAACGCUUGCGACGUGCCUAAGAAAUGCAAGUCGAACGGAUCAGCAGCAAUGCUGGUUAGUGGCGAACGGUCGCGUAACACGUGGGCAACCUGCCCUGAAGCGGGGGACAACAAGCCGAAAGGUUUGCUAAUACCGCAUGUGGAUCGCCUCGGCAUCGAGGAUUAUCCAAAGCAGCAAUGCACUUCAGGAUGGGCCCGCGGCCUAUCAGCUAGUUGGAGGGGUAACGGCCCACCAAGGCUUCGACGGGUAGCUGGUCUGAGAGGACGAUCAGCCGGAUUGGGACUGAGAUACGGCCCAGACUCCUACGGGGGGGCAGCAAUUAGGAAUCUUGCACAAUGGGCGAAAGCCUGAUGCAGCGACGUCGCGUGGGGGAUGAAAUCUUUCGGGAUGUAAACCCUUUGUCAGGGAAGAACAAUGACGGUACCUGACGAAUAACGCCCGGCUAACUACGUGCCAGCAGCCGCGGUAA
rnacentral:rRNA from 1 species